GUUGUUUUGAUAAUAUUUUAGGGGGUAACAUUCGUCGCUGACAUGCCAGCAAAUCUGCUCACGCUCCGAGACAUGACAAAAGAUUUCGAGCUGACUGGCUUCACAGAGCAGGAUAAGCUGCAGGAGGUCCAGAAGUAUGCUGCGUUCUUGAGGAAAAUUCUAGAGAGGCAAUCCCAUCUGGCUGAGACGUACGAAAUUGUUGUCUACAAUGGAGAUGCUGCAAUGAUGGAUGCUGUUCAGCACUUUUUUAAAAAUUGAGGCGAGGCCAUGCAUCCUUAAAAAAUUUUAUGUUUGCUGUCCCGGCCCCCGACCCAUGAUUUUUUUAGUGGGUAGGUUAGGUAGGUCUUUUUUUUGUGUGAGGCAUAAUAUUUAUUUUAAGUCUGUCCUCAUGUUUGCCACACAUGCUUUGUGUUUCAGUCUUAACUAUGAGGAAUGUAUAUGCACCUUCCAGAAUAUCAGUAGAAGAGUUAUAUUUUUAUAUAUA